GACGAACGCUGGCGGCGUGCUUAACACAUGCAAGUCGAACGAAGUGGCGAACGGGUGAGUAAUACGUGGGUAACCUGCCCUCCUUUUUGGGAUAAGCCUUGGAAACGGGGUCUAAUACCGAAUAAAGGGGGAUGGGCUCGCGGCCUAUCAGCUUGUUGGUGGGGUGAUGGCCUACCAAGGCGGUGACGGGUAGCCGGCCUGAGAGGGUGACCGGCCUCAAGGGGACUGAGAGACGGACCAAUGUCCUACGGGGGGCAGCAGUGGGGAAUAUUACACAAUGGGGGAAAGCCUGAUGCAGCAACGCCGCGUGCGGGAUGACGGCCUUGGGGUUGUAAACCGCUUUCAGCCAUGACGCGGUAGUGGCAGAAGAAGCACCGGCUAACUACGUGCCAGCAGCCGCGGUAAUAC
rnacentral:rRNA from 1 species